rnacentral:rRNA from 1 species
GGCCAGACUCCUACGGGAGGCAGCAGUGGGGAAUAUUGCACAAUGGGGGAAACCCUGAUGCAGCAACGCCGCGUGAAGGAAGACGGUUUUCGGAUUGUAAACUUCUGUUCUUAGUGAAGAAGAAUGACGGUAGCUAAGGAGCAAGCCACGGCUAACUACGUGCCAGCAGCCGCGGUAAUACGUAGGUGGCAAGCGUUGUCCGGAUUUACUGGGUGUAAAGGGCGUGUAGCCGGGCCGGCAAGUCAGAUGUGAAAUCCCAAGGCUCAACCUUGGAACUGCAUUUGAAACUGUUGGUCUUGAGUAUCGGAGAGGCAGGCGGAAUUCCUAGUGUAGCGGUGAAAUGCGUAGAUAUUAGGAGGAACACCAGUGGCGAAGGCGGCCUGCUGGACGACAACUGACGGUGAGGCGCGAAAGCGUGGGGAGCAAACAGGAUUAGAUACCCGAGUA